AGGUUUCCUCACGAUGUUUUCCUUCACCGUUAAAGCAAGUGAUAUUUAAUUGCUUAAAACGCACAUAAAUGUAAAGUUAGUGGUGCGUGCCCGGGAUCGAACCCCCGACCUCCGAUUAGUAGACGGACGUUCUAACUACUAGGCUACCACAACUUAUAAUUAUUGCCGAUAAUUAAAUUA